CCUCUUCACCGGAUAGGGCCGUACUAAGUAAGCGGGCCGGGGAGUGAGGCUCGAAAGAGCGAGAGGAGAAGGAGAUGCUUUCCUUGGAAUCCAGACUCCGGGAUAAAGGAAGGAAGGCUAGACCGUUCCUGAGCAUGCAAAGAGUUUCUUUUAAAGGCAACUGAAUAAGCUACGCGUCUGCUUGAAACCCAACUGAAAUGAGUCCAAAUCAUCUGCCUUCUCCACAAUCCUCUGGAGCUGAAGUCCAACCACUUUCUCUACCACCUUCCCUAAAAAGAUAGGUUGGAGAUUGGAACAUUGUUUGCCCAUGACUUUAUCCAAAGAUUUGUUUUUCUGCAGCAAAUUUCUAGCUCGGUUAGAUGCUUUUUAAUCAUUAUUACUGCGGAUAAAAAAUAAACUCAUAUUCACAUAGAAGAUCUGUCUAUAUAAAAAUCAAAGAGCGCAUAUAGAUUGAUGACCCAGAGUUUAAAUUUUAGAGUUCUCCUCCCAUCUUUCAGAGUCAAUGGAUAUCUGGUCAUUCUGUUCAAGCCCAAGGAAGCAGCUGCCUUAUACUGAAGUGAAAAUUGUCUUAGGUUAGUUCAUGUUUGUGUGUAUUUUAUUCUGGCUUGUUGAAAUGAGUAGAGUAUUUGAUUUUAAAAUGAUUGAGCUUAUAUUGCGGCUUAUACUAAUGUUAUGUAUUUCCAGCCUCGAAACAUUGCUGCUUUCAAAGAGGGUGCCAAGUGUUGUAAAAAGUAGCUCAAAGGCACAAUCCAAGAUAUGAAGAGACCACAUUUAUUGAUUAUACUAGAAGAACUCUGAAAACUGGAGUUUAGAAGGCAACUAAAAGACAAAAUCUUACACAAGGAAAAGGGAAAUAUUGGCCAAAGAGUAGUUUUAAAUUAAUUAUUUAUUGGUUUAGCAAAAUUACAUUAUCUUUGCUUUUAUACCAGGUAUUUUAAUUAAAGAUCUUACGAGUAUGGUCUUAUUUAAGGUUUGCUACCAACUCACAUCUCUUGAAUUAAAGUAAAACUAGACAGUUUAAGGAAUAGGUUCCAAUGCAUUGAUAAGAGGGUAAGAAAUCUGUAUAUGCAGGCUUCCGCAGUUUGCGAGCUGUCUCAAUUUAAAAGUGACUCCCCUUUCAGGAUUCACUAAACCUAAUCCUAGCCCUACAUCUCACUUAGUAGUAACUAAAAACUAGAACUAGUUAACAUAGCUACUAAUUAAUCCUCAAGAAGGAUUGGACCAUGAAUGAACAGAUCACCAGUUUACCAAAAAACAUGUUGAUGUGGCUACAGAAACAGCACAGAGAGUUAACCUUGUCUUUGCAGGUACAAGAAAGUGAAGUACAUACCAUAUUGGG